CAUCUACUUUGACCGAAAUCAUCAUCUUUGGUUGCAAACUUCCAGUUUCCACCAACUUUGACCAAAAACAUCUACUUUGACCGAAAUCAUCAUCUUUGGUUGCAAACUUCCAGUUUCCACCAACUUUGACCAAAAACAUCUACUUUGACCGAAAUCAUCAUCUUUGGUUGCAAACUUCCAGUUUCCACCAACUUUGACCAAAAACAUCAACUUUGACCGAAAUCAUCAUCUUUGGUUGCAAACUUCCAGUUUCCACCAACUUUGACCAAAAACAUCUACUUUGACCGAAAUCAUCAUCUUUGGUUGCAAACUUCCAGUUUCCACCAACUUUGACCAAAAACAUCUACUUUGACCGAAAUCAUCAUCUUUGGUUGCAAACUUCCAGUUUCCACCAACUUUGACCAAAAACAUCUACUUUGACCGAAAUCAUCAUCUUUGGUUGCAAACUUCCAGUUUCCACCAACUUUGACCAAAAACAUCAACUUUGACCGAAAUCAUCAUCUUUGGUUGCAAACUUCCAGUUUCCACCAACUUUGACCAAAAACAUCAACUUUGACCGAAAUCAUCAUCUUUGGUUGCAAACUUCCAGUUUCCACCAAAUUUGACCAAAAACAUCAACUUUGACCGAAAUCAUCAUCUUUGGUUGCAAACUUCCAGUUUCCACCAACUUUGACCAAAAACAUCAACUUUGACCGAAAUCAUCAUCUUUGGUCGCAAACUUCAAGUUUCCACCAAAAUUGACCAAAAACAUCAAUUAGCACCAAAAUCAACAUGUUUCUACUAACUUUGACCAAAAUCAUCAAUUAACACCAAAAUCAACAUGUUUCUACUAACUUUGACCAAAAUCAUCAAUUAACACCAAAAUCAACAUGUUUCUACUAACUUUGACCAAAAUCAUCAACAUUGAGCGAAAUCGAUGGUUUUGUAGCAACUUCGACUGUAUUGUGUCAUUUUCAACCAACAUUGACCAAAAUCAUCAAAAUUGACCACAAUCAUCAACAUUGACCGAAAUCGAUGGUUUUCUACCAACUUCGAAUGUAUUGUGUCAUUUUUAACCAACUUUGACCAAAAUCAUCAACAUUGACCAAAAUCAUCAACAUUGACCAAAAUCAUCAACAUUGACCAAAAUCGAUGGUUUUCUACCAACUUCGACUGUGAUGAGACAUUUUUAACCAACUUUGACCAAAAUCAUCAACAUUGACCAAAAUCAUCAACAUUGACCAAAAUCAUCAACAUUGACCAAAAUCGAUGGUUUUCUACCAACUUCGACUGUGAUGAGACAUUUUUAACCAACUUUGACCAAAAUCAUCAACAUUGACCAAAAUCAUCAACAUUGACCAAAAUCAUCAACAUUGACCAAAAUCGAUGGUUUUCUACCAACUUCGAAUGUAUUGUGUCAUUGUUAACCAACUUUGACCAAAAUCAUCAAUUUUGAUUACAUACAUCUAGUUUCUACUAACAUUGACCAAAACCAUCAAUUUUGGUCACAAACAUCUAGUUUCUACUAACAUUGACCAAAAUCAUCAACUUUGGUCAUAAACAUCUAGUUUCUACUAACUUUGACCAAAAUCAUCAACUUUGGUAGGAAACAUCCAUUUUCUACUAACUUUGACCAAAAUCAUCAACUUUGGUAGGAAACAUCUAGUUUCUACUAACUUUGACCAAAACCAUCAAUUUUGGUCACAAACAUCUAGUUUCUACUAACUUUGACCAAAACCAUCAACUACAUCCGCGUAUGUAGAAUGUGUGCGAGCAUUUGUGCGAUGCUAUUGGCCGCAAACAAUCUUCCUCUCUGUUUGCCACAACAUUUUUCACUAUUUCCAAUGUUUUUACCUGCAUUGGAACAGGUGGUUGAAAAUGUUAUGCACAGGUAUAUUUAUAUCCGAAAAAUAAUCUGUUCAGUGCCCUUCUUCAAAAGAACGAAUUGAUGGACAAAUUGAAAGACAUCUGAGCACAUCGACGUAAAACAACUUAUGGUAGCUAAUGAACAGAUCUAUCCAAAUCUCUGUUACAAUUGAAGAUCCAUUGGAAACUGACCGAGUUAUAAGCAUACAAAGUGGCAAAAUGAGGAAUUUUUUGUAAAAAUCGAGAAAAUGUGAAAUCUUUGUAUCUCGAAUAACAUUUGACACAGACAUCUUAGCACAUUGGCAUGGAACAUCUUAUGGUAGCUAAUGAGCAGAUCUAUCCAUAUCUGUGUUACAAUUGAAGAUCCAUUGGAAACUGACCGAGUUAUGGCAGGUGACAGAAAAAGCUUAGGUCGCGAAUAACUUUUUUGUCCGACAUCGGAGCACAUGGUCGUUGAAGACUUUUAGCUUGCAUUCGUCGAGAUCUACCCAAAUCACAAAGAAAAUCCAAAAUCGGUUGGUAAAUGACUGAGAUAUGGACAAAAAAAAGAAGUUGAAAUGCGAACCGCGAGAAAUCAGCCUGAAGGUAGGCAAUUCGUAUAAGCCAUUCAAUGUAUUAGAAGUUACUUUUUCGAAUAACUUUUUCCACAGACAUCUGAGCUCAUCAACGUAAAACAACUUAUGGUAGCUAAUGAGCAGAUCUAUCCAAAUCUGUGUUACAAUUGAAGAUCCAUUGGAAACUGACCGAGUUAUAAGCUUCCAAAGUGGCAAAAUGAGGAUUUUUUUGUAAAAAUCGAGAACAUUUUAAGUCUUUGUAUCUCGAAUAACUUUUUCCACAGACAUCUUAGCACAUCGGCGUAGAACAACUUAUGGUAGUUAAUGAGAAGAUCUAUCCAUAUCUGUGUUACAAUUGAAGAUCCAUUGGAAACUGACCGAGUUAUAAGCAUCCAAAGUGACAAAAUGAGGAUUUUUUUGUAAAAACCGAGAAAAUUUUAAGUUUUUGUACCUCGAAUAACUUUUUCCACAGACAUCUUAGCACAUCGGCGUAGAACAACUUAUGGUAGUUAAUGAGAAGAUCUAUCCAUAUCUGUGUUACAAUUGAAGAUCCAUUGGAAACUGACCGAGUUAUAAGCAUCCAAAGUGACAAAAUGAGGAUUUUUUUGUAAAAACCGAGAAAAUCUUUUAACCGAGUUAAGAUUUUAAAAACAUUAAAUGUACUGGAAAGAAGUUUUCAUUCCUGCCGGCAACAAUUACGGUGCAGCGGAAUACAAUUCGUUUAUUUUUUUUAUCACAUUGCUUACAUUCGAACCCAAUCGGCUCAAUCGUCCUUCACUUGCUUGGUAUGUGAUAAUAUGUGUAAUUAUCAUGCACAUUAACGAUAUCGUACACCGGAAGGUUACGGUGUAAAAUAUAAUUCAAUUUUAGUGCCAUGCGGAAAAUGUGCCGAACUUGUCCGCUACACCUAAUGAAAGCUUAAUAUUGUACCCAAACGAAAGCUUUACAUCAAAAGCUCUGUGAUGCGAGAGCUUUUCCAUAUGCAUUGGAACCAUUUGGAAAGCUUUACCGCCAUUUGCAUUGGGUGUGUAGUAAAAGUGAUGUCAGUAAAAAUGUCAUCGCAGAUUCAUAACGUAAUAAUGUUGAAUUAUGCAUAUAUUUUCGGCUCAACUGUCAUUUAUUGGGUUUGUUGACAAUAAUAUAUGCAAUUGUGUGUGCACAUACAUUUUUUACCCAUACGCGGAACCUUCCGGCGUAAAUUGCAAUUCAAUUUAAGCCAAUGUUUUAAAUUGCAUUUUGAUUUCAUGUUCAUUACAGUAUUCCACUUAUUAUGUGUGGAAGUGUGUGAUACAAUUAAAUAUACAUUUAACAAAUCGUGAAGUUUUCUGCAAGAAUAUAUGCAAAACUGUUUGUAAUGGCAACCGUUCAAAAUAUGGGCGUGCGGUUUUUUAUUAUUUAAUUACAUUAAAUUGUAUUUUAUCAAAUGAGCCCAUUCAGGUGUUCCACCACUCUCUGUUGCUCUCUCGCACUGAUUGAUCGAAUCGUUCCCAUGCGAAAGAAUGGGAAGCAAAGGUUUGAUUUAAUUUUUGUUAGUACUGUUUUAAAUCGGAUUUUGGUCGGCUGUUAUAAUCAUUGAUUGUGGAAAAUUGGUUGAAAUAAAGUUUGAUAGAAAAGAAAUAAUUUAAUUUAAUUUAUUAUAAUUUAAUUUAUGAUAAAUUAAUUUAUUUUAUUUUAAUUUAAUUUAAUUUAAUUCCAUAACAUUUCAUUUCAUUUCAUAUCAUUUCAUAUCAUUUCAUAUCAUUUCAUAUCAUUUCAUAUCAUUUCAUAUCAUUUCAUAUCAUUUCAUAUCAUUUCAUAUCAUUUCAUAUCAUUUCAUAUCAUUUCAUAUCAUUUCAUAUCAUUUCAUGUCAUUUCAUGUCAUUUCUUGUCGUUUCAUGUUGUUUCAUGUCAUUUCAUGUCAUUUCAUGCACAGCAAUAUCGCGCGCGCGCAAGCAUGCUCACUCCCACAGCAACAGCUAAUCGAACAUAUGGCACCACCCCCACCCACAAAAAAACACACCGGCAACAGCUGUUGAUACGGUGCGCGCUCCGUUUGCCUUAGCGCGGUAUCGAUGUGAAAAAAAGGGAAGCAAAGGUUUGAUUUAUUUUUUGUUAAUACUGAUAUAAAUCGGAUUUUAUUCGGCUGUUAUGAUCAUUGAUUGUGUAGAAUUGAUUGAAAUAAAGUUUGUUAGAAAUAAAAUAAUUUAAUUUAAUUUAUUACAAUUAAUUUUCAUUUUAUUAAAAAUGAAAUAAUUUAGAUUAAUUUAAUAGAAUUGAAUGUAAUUUAAUUGCACUUUAUGUCAAUUCAUUUCAUUUCAUUCAAUACCACGCGCCGCAAUAACGCGCGCGCAUAAAUACGCACGCAUGCAACCGCACGCAACAGCUGAUCGAACGUAUGCCACCCACCCCCACCCACAAAAAAACAACACCGGCAACAGCUGUUGAUACGGUGCGCGAUCCGUUUGCCUUAGCGCAGUAUCGAUGUGAAAGAAAGGAAAGCAAAGGUUUGAUUUAUUUUUUGUUAAUACUGAUAUAAAUCGGAUUUUAUUCGGGUGUUAUGAUCAUUGAUUGUGUAGAAUUGAUUGAAAUGAAGUUGAAUAGAAAAAAAAUAAUUUAAUUUAAUUUAUUAUAAUUUAUUUUAAUUUCCUUAAGAAUGAAAUAAUUUAAUUUAAUUUAAUAGAAUUUAAUUUAAUUUAAUUGCACUAUAUUUCAAUUCAUUUCAUUUAAUUCAAUAUCACGCGCCGCAAUAACGCGCGCGCAUAAAUACGCACGCAUGCAACCGCACGCAACAGCUGAUCGAACAUAUGGCACAACCCCCACCCACAAAAACACACACCGGCAACAGCUGUUGAUACGGUGCGCGCUCCGUUUGCCUUAGCGCGGUAUCGAUGUGAAAGAAAGGGAAGCAAAGGUUUGAUUUAUUUUUUGUUAAUACUGUUAUAAAUCGGAUUUUGGUCGGUUGUUAUGAUCAUUGGUUGUGUAGAAUUGAUUGAAAUAAAGUUUGUUAGAAAAAAAAAAUUUAAUUUAAUUUAUUACAAUUUAUUUAAAUAAAAUUUAAAUUUUUAAUUGAUUAAUGUAAUUAAUGGAAUUA